UUGACAUCCAGCGAACUUGGCAGAGAUGCCUUGGUGCCUUCGGGAACGCUGAGACGGGUGCUGCAUGGCUGUCGUCAGCUCGUGUUGUGAAAUGUUGGGUUAAGUCCCGCAACGAGCGCAACCCUUAUCCUUUGUUGCCAGCGAUUCGGUCGGGAACUCAAAGGAGACUGCCGGUGAUAAACCGGAGGAAGGUGGGGAUGACGUCAAGUCAUCAUGGCCCUUACGAGUAGGGCUACACACGUGCUACAAUGGCGCAUACAAAGAGAAGCGACCUCGCGAGAGCAAGCGGACCUCAUAAAGUGCGUCGUAGUCCGGAUCGGAGUCUGCAACUCGACUCCGUGAAGUCGGAAUCGCUAGUAAUCGUGGAUCAGAAUGCCACGGUGAAUACGUUCCCGGGCCUUGUACACACCGCCCGUCACACCAUGGGAGUGGGUUGCAAAAGAAGUAGGUAGCUUAACCUCCGGGAGGGCGCUUACCACUUUGUGAUUCAUGACUGGGGUGAAGUCGUAACAAGGUAAGCGUAGCGAG
rnacentral:rRNA from 1 species